GAUGAACGCUGGCGGCGUGCCUAAUACAUGCAAGUCGAGCGAACAGAUGAGGAGCUUGCUCCUCUGACGUUAGCGGCGGACGGGUGAGUAACACGUGGAUAACCUACCUAUAAGACUGGGAUAACUUCGGGAAACCGGAGCUAAUACCGGAUAAUAUUUUGAACCGCAUGGUUCAAUAGUGAAAGACGGUUUUGCUGUCACUUAUAGAUGGAUCCGCGCCGCAUUAGCUAGUUGGUAAGGUAACGGCUUACCAAGGCAACGAUGCGUAGCCGACCUGAGAGGGUGAUCGGCCACACUGGAACUGAGACACGGUCCAGACUCCUACGGGAGGCAGCAGUAGGGAAUCUUCCGCAAUGGGCGAAAGCUUGACGGAGCAACGCCGCGUGAGUGAUGAAGGUCUUCGGAUCGUAAAACUCUGUUAUUAGGGAAGAACAAAUGUGUAAGUAACUAUGCACGUCUUGACGGUACCUAAUCAGAAAGCCACGGCUAACUACGUG
rnacentral:rRNA from 1 species